CAAAGUAUUUUUAGAAAUAGUAUUUUUAGCUAAAUUACAUUUUCUGUAAACAAACUGAGAAUUUUUUAAGCUACCUAAACAUGCAAAAAGCAAGUAUGAUGAAAGGCACAUCUACCAGUGUGCUAAGUUAUUCUUACACUGGCUCAGCCAAAUCCUGGUGCUUCAGAAUAUUGUUCUCCUGGUCUGAAAAUGAUGAUUUCUGUACUCAUAUCUUGUUGGAUAUUUUAUUUUCAGUUGGAGCUCUGUACAGGCAUAGGUUUUCACACAGAACCAGCUGCUGUUUGGGGCCUGGCUUACAAAAAGUUUAGUAAGAAACUGUAAAUCCACUGUACUUUUCAUCAAAAUGUUUUCAAACAUACCAAAUAGACCACUAACCGUUCAAAUACAAGUAACUUCAUGAAACUGAUUUCAUAAAGAGAAUUGCUUCCUGUUUAUGCUUAGAUGAUCAUUCCAAAGUUUGAAAUUAAAAAGGAUAUUUGAAAAAAAAAAAAAAGUAUUACACCAUCAAAGGCAAGAUUUAGAAUUACAUUUAGGGAAAAAAUUACUUUCUUUAGGAUGCAGAGAGCUGAAUACACUACCUAAUAACAGAUCUCCCUGAAAGUUUUUUUUUUCUUGAUAUCAUUGUUAUUAUCAUUGGUACUAUGAGAUAGCAACAGCCAUUGCAAGAGAUGUAAUAAAUGUAUAAAAUAUAAAAUUGGUCAUUAUAUAGCAGUGGGCAUUUGUUAUUGCAGCCUGCUGUUUCACAGAUUUUUGAGCCAGAUAAAAGCGUUAUGAAGAUGUGGUCCGCUCUCCUGCGGUAUGUAGGGGACAGGUGUUCACCCCGGUACCCUGGAAGCAAGUUCCUAAUUGCUGUUAGAGCUACUGCCUAUCUUUAAAAAGGACAUGCCACUUUCCAUUUAAGGUUGCAAGUAAUGGCAAAUUGUCAUGUCAGUGAUUAACCAAUUCCACUUACAGGGUCCAAACAAUUUCUUCUCCAUGGUAGGGGUGUUAUGCUGAAAAACUGCGUAUGUCUCCUGUAAUGCAGAACUUUCUUGGCAAGCCUAUUUAUAUGUAAUUCUUCUAAUCUUACCUCAUAAAUUGUUCCCCUUCACUCAUCUUGUCCAGGUUUACUGCUCUUUCCUGAACUGCCUUUGAAUUGCCAUAUUUUAGUAGUGAAUGCCUAGAAGUGAAUUUGAUGUUCAAGUUGUAAUCUGUAGCCUGCAGAGAGCAGGCAGUUCCCUCUUUUACACUGUGAUGUGACACCCCUCAAAGCAUGCAUCUGACUGUUUGAAACUCGCAUCAGGAUUCCUGUCCAGCUUCAGCACAAGUGUCUCACAGGCAUCCUGCUCUCCAACUUCCUUUCUGACAAUAAAGAGUUACCGUGUGGUUGACUUUUGCUCUGUGCAUGAAGGGCUUUUUGGCUUUUUUGACCCGCAUUUUAAUGUCUGAAAUAUAUUGUACUCUUUCUCUGUCUUCACUGGUGUUGCAAUAGUUCCCGUUGUGACCAUCUGCAGAUGUCAUUAACCUCCUGUUUAUACUCGCUAUUCCAGCUCGUUAAUAAUAAAGAUAUUAAGUCUGGCCUUCCUGGCCUUCCUUACCUUCCCCUGCGUAUCUCCCUAGGCACCUGUUCCCAGCUGUUUAACACUGCUUCUUGUAAUUUUUCUGCUCAUGUAACUGUUCAAGUCAACUGGAAUUUUUUCAGAUAAGCACUUGUGAGAAGGAAUCAAAUAUAUUACUAAGAGAUCUGUGGCCAACAUUCACGCUAUUGCAUCACGUUUACCAAGUUUGUCCUUCUGUUCAGUGUGGAAGAAUCAUGUUUGAUUGGCUAAGAAGCCACAGAAAGAUUAUCUGUACUUUCUCCUUGUCUUUGUUCUGUGUUUACCAUUUAUUUUCUAUUACUUGCUCUUUAAUUUUGUUAUACAAAAAUCAAGACUGACCUCAUUUUUGGCUUGCUACAUCCCAGAAAUACAGGAGUUGUACAUGGAUUGCACCAUGGACCCAUCUGGUCCAAGUUCCUGCUGCUGGCAGCAACUAACAGUUGAUAAUCCGGGCAAAAGCUAAGGGAGGAAAAAUUAAUUCAUCUGCCUGAUACUGAAAUUCCAUCCCGAUGGCCACAGGAGAUCAGUAUAUCACUCAGAGCACAAAGUUUAAUCGCCUGUAUCACUCUUUACCCUGCAGAGCUAUAAGGAGACAAGAGAGUUCCCUGAACUGAAGUCAGUCUUGCUGAGUGGUAUCUUGAGCAUACUGGAUUUGCUCGGCACCUCAGGAGGCGCCUGCUCCUGUGCCAGGAUUCAAGGAUUCAUGUGCUGGAUUCAGAGAUGAGUGUGGAGCCUUAGAUACUCAAAGACUGAGCCUGCCUUUUUUGUUUGCCUUGUAUCCAGCAUAUUGUCACUACUAGAAAAAUAAUAAAGAUCUUUUUACAGUCUA